rnacentral:rRNA from 1 species
UCGAGAAUAAUUCACAAUGGGGGCAACCCUGAUGGUGCAACGCCGCGUGGAGGAUGAAGGUCUUCGGAUUGUAAACUCCUGUCAUCCGGGAGUAAGACCUGGCUGUGAAUAGCAGACAGGGUUGAUAGUACCGGAAGAGGAAGGGACGGCUAACUUCGUGCCAGCAGCCGCGGUAAUACGAAGGUCCCGAGCGUUGUUCGGAAUCACUGGGCGUAAAGGGAGCGUAGGCGGUAUGGUAAGUCAGAUGUGAAAUCCCGGGGCUCAACCCCGGCACUGCAUCCGAUACUGCCGUGCUUAGAGGGUUGGAGAGGUAGCUGGAAUUCACGGUGUAGCAGUGAAAUGCGUAGAUAUCGUGAGGAACACUUGCUGCGAAAGCGAGCUACUGGACAACUCCUGACGCUGAGGCUCGAAGGCCAGGGGAGCGAAAGGG